AUUAUCGAUUCAACACAAAUGAGAGAGGAGCUGCUCGCAGCUGUGCUGGCCUCUGAAACCGGAGGCACUGUGCACGUUCGACUGUUCCUUCUCUUCAUUUACACACCUGUGAACCUGUUGUAGGGUGUCUCGCAAGGGAUGCUCUAUGUCUUUUUCAUAUACUCCAUAGCAUGUUGUCAGAAUGUAUCUUUUUGCUCUCGUCAGAGACAAAAAUAAAGCUUUAUAACUUUCAGCAACGGAUCUCUUGGCUCUCGCAUCGAUGAAGAACGCAGCGAAUUGCGAUAUGUAAUGUGAAUUGCAGAUUUUCAGUGAAUCAUCGAAUCUUUGAACGCAUCUUGCGCUCCUUGGUAUUCCGAGGAGCAUGCCUGUUUGAGUGUCAUUAAAUUCUCAACUCCCUUUGAUUUUUUCAAGGGUGAGCUUGGAUUGUGGAGGUUCUGCUGGCUGCAAAGUCAGCUCCUCUGAAAUGCAUUGGCAAAGGUGUAUGCAUGAAUUGGCCUUUCGGUGUGAUAAUGAUCACCGUGGCUGGAUUGCUUUAAUGCCUGUGCCCAAUCUCUUUUCCAUUCACUUGGAAAGAAAACCCACUUGACAUUUUGACCUCAAAUCAGGUAGGACUACCCGCUGAACUUAAGCAUAUCAAUAAGCGGAGGAAAAGAAACUAACAAGGAUUCCCCUAGUAACUGCGAGUGAAGCGGGAAAAGCUCAAAUUUUAAAUCUGGCGGUCUCUGGCCGUCCGAGUUGUAAUCUAGAGAAGUGCUUUCUGUG
rnacentral:rRNA from 1 species